CGCAUAUGCCCAGGAUUUUUGCAUUGCAACGUCGAUGUCUGCGAGUGAUUGCGCAGAUUGGAUACAGGGAUUGUUGUAAGGUCCACUUCAGGCUUCUGAGAGUUCUCACCUUACCAAGCGCCUUCAUACUUCUGUGCCUUGUAUUCAUUAGGGAAAACCUACCCAGGUUUGCGACUCAUGCUAGCACUCACAGUCAUGACACCAGAAAUAGCGGCUCCUUGGUGGCACCAUUUAGGAGACUCGAGCGUACCCGUAAUGGCGUGUCUUAUUAUGGAAUUAAGUUCUUUAAUGUCCUGCCGGUCUCCGUUAAGGAUUUGCCUCUUAAUGCUUAUAAGACAAAGAGGGAAGAGCAUUAAAUAAUUUUAUUCCCCAAAAGCCCGGUCCAUCCCGACACCUUCCCAGACGGCAGUAAGGAGGUACAAAGUCAGUUCUAUGGCGAGUAUUAUAGCCAUGUAUAUCUUGGACUGUUUAGUAGAUAGGAUGUUCUGCAAAAGGGAAUGUGGAGAAGCGCCUGACCUCGUGUUGUGUAAGAAGAUACAUGCAAAGAGAAAAGGCACAGACAUUCCGGACUUCUAACAAUACCAUUCAGAACCUUAAACGCAAAGCAAACUUCAAAGAACUGCCUUCUACUUGAUAAGGAGUUUAUGCUCAGGUAGGACAUGGUCUCUGAACAGGUAAGAUCCAGGCCUGACUUCAUAAGAGUAUAUCUGGCAAACCUGAUAAACUUGUGCUGGAUAUUUUCAAGCCUCUCAAUGUGAAUCAGAAAAUGAGGUGACCAAACAAUAUUGGAGAAUUCGAGAAGAGCGCAUGUAUCAUGGUCUUUUAGAGAUCUGGCAAGGUUUUUAUUAUAAAUAUGCUUGUUGUACUUUUCUAAAUUAUUAGCUUUUUCUUUUUAUCAGCCAUUUCAAAGCUAGAACAUGUUUCACAUCUAUCUUUUUUUGAUUUAUAAAAGCUUAUGUUAAAUUUAGUAUUAAAGAUAUCACGAUAUUGUAACUCAGCAUAAUAUGAUCCUUCCACAUUAUUUUCCAACAAAAACUAUACUAACUCAACUUACUAUUGUUUUCUCGGUAAACUAAUCAUAACAAAUAGAUACAAUAUAUUUGUUUUAUCUUAUGUGUGUUGCCUACAUUUCAAAUUUAGUUACUAUACUUUUCCUUGGAAAUCUUGACUUAUAAGACAUAUUAUCGUGAUAUUAACUAAAAAUAGAGAUUUUUUGAGUUACUAUAGUUUUUGUUGCGGGUGUCGAUGUGUUCCCAAUAUCUAGGGAAACAGUAAAUGUCAUUUGAUGAUCCAAAACUAGUGAUGGGUAGUAUUUGAUUGAUAACCUGAAGCCUGAUGGGCGAUGACUAAGACUAAGAGUAAACUAAAUAAAUUAUUAAUAAAUGAUAUAAAAACUCCUGGCAAAGUAAUAUCCUAUGCAGAUGAUACAGGAAUUAUAUCUAUUGGAGACACAUGCGGCAAGAGGCAAAAGUUAAGUUUCAAGAAGGUCUAUCAUUAAUCAAAAAUUUUUUCGACACCUUUAAAUUGUCACUAAAUCCAAAAAAAUCUAAAUAUAUAGCAUUUUCCAUAAACAGUUCAAAUAUACCAAACUUUCAAAAUAUUAUUGUAAACAAUAUUAAUGAACUAACUGCACAGGUAAACUCUAUAAAAUAUUUGGGAGUCCAUAUAGACAAACAUCUAAAAUGGGAUAUACACAUUGAUUAUUUAACAAAAAAGAUAAAGGCACUCUUACAUAAAUUUUAUUUAUUAAGGGAAAUUUUGUGCAGAAAACUCAUUGUGUUGAUCUAUAAAGCUCUCGUGGAACCCCUAUUAAGGUAUGGGAUAUUGAUUUGGGGUGGGGCAUAUGAAAACAGUCUAAAAAAUCUUAAAACAAUACAAAACUCAAUAGUAAAGAUAAUGUUAAAGAGACCUAGGUUAUUUUCAACAAAGCAAUUAUAUAAUUCUGAAAUACAAGAUUUGAAAACUCUUUUUAUACCAACCUGUUGCUCUUAUAUUCAUAAAUUCUAUGGUAAACACAGUAUAAUAAACCAUAGACACCAAACCCGAGCUAAUAAACACCAGCAAAUUGUACUACCUUAUAUGAUUCGAGAUUUUGGUCAACAUUCAGCAGUAUUUUUAGCUCCAAAAUUUUAUAACCUUCUCCCAGAAAAUGUCAAACAACAGAAAUACUUCAAAAAGUUUAAUGAACAUGCCCUAAGUUAUAUAUUAGGAAACAAAAGAAAAUUUUGUUGAUUGAUCAUAAGUGCUUGUAUCAAUAUUCUGCUUUUCACCAAACUUUUUAUUUUCUUACUCAAUAGCAAUCACAACAUAAAUACAUA